UCAGAAUAAUUCGAUUUGCACGAAUGUCUUCUCAGUGUAAGGGAGAUGCUGUUCUUUGUUGAGCUAUAUUCUG
rnacentral:tRNA from 1 species